GGAUAACGUUUGGAAACGAACGCUAAUACCGCAUGAUAUUAUUGAGCUGCAUGGCUUGAUAAUCAAAGGAGCAAUCCGCUGAAAGAUGGGCUCGCGUCCGAUUAGGUAGUUGGCGGGGCAACGGCCCACCAAGCCGACGAUCGGUAGCCGGACUGAGAGGUUGAACGGCCACAUUGGGACUGAGACACGGCCCAGACUCCUACGGGAGGCAGCAGUGAGGGAUAUUGGUCAAUGGGGGAAACCCUGAACCAGCAACGCCGCGUGAGGGAAGACGGUUUUCGGAUUGUAAACCUCUGUCCUCUGUGAAGAUAAUGACGGUAGCAGAGGAGGAAGCUCCGGCUAACUACGUGCCAGCAGCCGCGGUAAUACGUAGGGAGCAAGCGUUGUCCGGAUUUACUGGGUGUAAAGGGUGCGUAGGCGGCUUUGCAAGUCAGAAGUGAAAUCCGUGGGCUUAACCCAUGAACUGCUUUUGAAACUGCAGAGCUUGAGUGGAGUAGAGGUAGGCGGAAUUCCCGGUGUAGCGGUGAAAUGCGUAGAGAUCGGGAGGAACACCAGUGGCGAAGGCGGCCUGCUGGGCUCUAACUGACGCUGAGGCACGAAAGCGUGGGUAGCAAACAGGAUUAGAUACCCUGGUAGUCCACGCUGUAAACGAUGAUUACUAGGUGUGGGUGGACUGACCCCAUCCGUGCCGGAG
rnacentral:rRNA from 1 species